rnacentral:rRNA from 1 species
UUCUAAUGGUGUUUAGUUCUGGAAUGGCUUACACUCAAAGCUUCGGCGCUCAAGGAUGAAUCUGCAUCCGAUUAUGCUUGUUGGUGGUGUAACGGACCACCAAGGCGACGAUCGGUACGGGCCGUGAGAGCGGUAGCCCGGAGAUGGCCACUGAGACAACGGGCCAGGCCCUAUGGGGUGCAGCAGGCGCGAAACCUGGCCAAUGCGCGAAAGCGUGAGCCGGCCAAUCCGAGUGAAGACCCAUCGGUCUUCUUUUACCAUGUGUACAAAGCUUGGUGAAUAACGAGAGGGCAAGACUGGUGCCAGCCGCCGCGGUAAAACCAGCUCUUGGAGUGGUGAUCAUGAUUAUUUGGCUUAAAGUGAGCGUAGCCGGACAGCGUAAGUCCCCUGUGAAAUGCUAGGUCUUAAGCUUAGCACGUGCACGGGAUACUGCGCGUCUUGGGACCGGGAUGGGUGUACUGUACGGUUUGGGUAGGGGUGAAAUCCGAUAAUCCAAGCCGGACAACCGGUGGCGAAGGCGGUACACUGGAACGGGUCCGACGGUGAGGCUCGAAAGCUAGGGUCGCGAGCCGGAUUAGAUACCCGGGUAGUCCUAUGCUGUAAACGAUGCUCACUAAGUGUUAGGUAAUGCAAGACGUUACCUGGUGCCG